rnacentral:snRNA from 1 species
AGCUUUGCGCAGUGGCAAUAUCGUAGCCAGUGAGGUUUAUCCGAGGCGCGAUUAUUGCUAUAAAAAAAAAAAAAAGGAAAUGUGUCAAGUGAGGGCUUUGUUUCACUUGUGUCGAGUAAAACUCUGUUUUAAUUGCACAGUUUGAGAAGGUCCAAAAUCCAAUGUGGUGGA